rnacentral:rRNA from 1 species
UACGUAGGGAGCAAGCGUUGUCCGGAAUCAUUGGGCGUAAAGCGCGCGUAGGUGGCUUCGUAAGUCCGUUGUGAAAGUCAAAGGCUCAACCUUUGAAUGCCGAUGGAUACUGGCGUGCUUGAGGACUGGAGAGGAGACUGGAAUUCAUGGUGUAGCAGUGAAAUGCGUAGAGAUCAUGAGGAAGACCAGUGGCGAAGGCGGGUCUCUGGACAGUUCCUGACACUGAGACACGAAGGCCAGGGGAGCAAACGGG